rnacentral:rRNA from 1 species
CGCUGGCGGCGUGCCUAACACAUGCAAGUCGAGCGAUUCUCUUCGGAGAAGAGCGGCGGACGGGUGAGUAACGCGUGGGUAACCUGCCCUGUACACACGGAUAACAUACCGAAAGGUAUGCUAAUACGAGAUAAUAUGCUUUUAUCGCAUGGUAGAAGUAUCAAAGCUUUUGCGGUACAGGAUGGACCCGCGUCUGAUUAGCUAGUUGGUAAGGUAACGGCUUACCAAGGCGACGAUCAGUAGCCGACCUGAGAGGGUGAUCGGCCACAUUGGAACUGAGACACGGUCCAAACUCCUACGGGAGGCAGCAGUGGGGAAUAUUGCACAAUGGGCGAAAGCCUGAUGCAGCAACGCCGCGUGAGCGAUGAAGGCCUUCGGGUCGUAAAGCUCUGUCCUCAAGGAAGAUAAUGACGGUACUUGAGGAGGAAGCCCCGGCUAACUACGUGCCAGCAGCCGCGGUAAUACGUAGGGGGCUAGCGUUAUCCGGAAUUACUGGGCGUAAAGGGUGCGUAGGUGGUUUCUUAAGUCAGAGGUGAAAGGCUACGGCUCAACCGUAGUAAGCCUUUGAAACUGGGAAACUUGAGUGCAGGAGAGGAGAGUGGAAUUCCUAGUGUAGCGGUGAAAUGCGUAGAUAUUAGGAGGAACACCAGUUGCGAAGGCGGCUCUCUGGACUGUAACUGACGCUGAGGCACGAAAGCGUGGGGAGCAAAAAGGAUUAGAUACCCUGGUAGUCCACGCCGUAAACGAUGAGUACUAGCUGUCGGAGGUUACCCCCUUCGGUGGCGCAGCUAACGCAUUAAGUACUCCGCCUGGGAAGUACGCUCGCAAGAGUGAAACUCAAAGGAAUUGACGGGGGACCCGCACAAGUAGCGGAGCAUGUGGUUUAAUUCGAAGCAACGCAAAGAACCUUACCUAAGCUUGACAUCCUUUUGACCGAUGCCUAAUCGCAUCUUUCCCUUCGGGGACAGAAGUGACAGGUGGUGCAUGGUUGUCGUCAGCUCGUGUCGUGAGAUGUUGGGUUAAGUCCCGCAACGAGCGCAACCCUUGCCUUUAGUUGCCAGCAUUAAGUUGGGCACUCUAGAGGGACUGCCAGGGAUAACCUGGAGGAAGGUGGGGAUGACGUCAAAUCAUCAUGCCCCUUAUGCUUAGGGCUACACACGUGCUACAAUGGGUGGUACAGAGGGCAGCCAAGUCGUGAGGCGGAGCUAAUCCCUUAAAGCCAUUCUCAGUUCGGAUUGUAGGCUGAAACUCGCCUACAUGAAGCUGGAGUUACUAGUAAUCGCAGAUCAGAAUGCUGCGGUGAAUGCGUUCCCGGGUCUUGCAC